rnacentral:lncRNA from 1 species
AUAAAGUAGGAGGUAUGUGUGAUGGUGAGAUGAACUAUGGCCAGACAUUAGUGAUUUAAUUAAAAUCUAUUCAGUGAGUGCCCAUUGAUGUUAAUUGGAUUUUUUCCUGUAUAAUAUCAACUAAAUUCAAAUUGACUUUGAGGUCUUGGUAGAGUGUCUGCCUGUGUGUUAUAUUUUAUUUAUUCAUUGAGGUCUGAACAAUUGCUUAUUGAAUGGAAAAUGCAGUACAAUGCAUGUCUUUAACUGUUCUCCUGUUUUUUUUUUCCUUUCAGGUCUUAUCACAAUGGCUAUACUUAGAACGUGAGCAAGGAUUUCAACCAACUUCUGAGUAAAUUUAUCUUGAAAAUAUGAAUGUGGACUGCCUUUUAUCUCUAUUUCACUCCAUUAACAUGCUACAAACUAUUGAAUGAUUUCAAAUAACUGCAAAUGUAUAAUAUAUAUUUUAAAUUUCUCUAUAAUUUUAUUUGAAGGAUGCCAGCACAUUAUGUUACAGACAGCAAGGCUGCUUCUGAGUGACACCUAGGAAAUUAUUUGAAGAAACUUUUUUAUAUCUAUACCUGUUAUGCAAAAGACUUUAAAACAUUUGUUAUUUUCUCAUCUUUUUUCUAAUUCACUUUGAUUGACAAGGGUCGUGUGUCCUUCAAAGCUAAAGGCUGAAAAGAGCAAACAGAUCAGGCAAAAAAUAAAAUUACAUUGACUUCCUAGCUAUGAACAUCAAUGUUACUCUCUAUGUAAAUUAUACCUUGCCCUCUAUCAUUGUGAACAGUUGCUAUGGUGUUUCUGAGAGUUUUACAGUUAAUGUGUGGAGGGUUAAAAAGUAUAAGGUACUAAGGGAUCAUGCUUAUCCUAGGGUCUCAUAGAAGACCGGACAUAUUUAACUCAUCUUGUGAACUACAGAUGGGUUAUGGUCCAUACACCAAGCAUAUGGGUUUUUUUCAAAACCUAAUUGAAGUAGGUUGACCUGUUUGGUCUGAGAGUUCUAAGGGAAGGUAGGCAUUUAUUUAGUUAGUUUGCCCUGGCUUUACCUCUGGUUAAUGCUUAUGUUAAUAGGGGGAAAUCCCUUUAUCUUUUUUCCCAAGCCCCUUCCUGCCUGACUGUAAGUGACUUGCCCAGAUUGGGAUUAUCAGGUAUCAGAUGGUUUCUGUAGAGAUGACUUUUUCACCUUUAAACUCUUAAGCUGAGAAUGGAAAACGCUUGAUACCUGCGUCUAUUUUAUAUCAGUCACUGAGACAUUUUUAAGUUUUUAUUUAUUAAAGUUUUUAUUUAUUAACACAACUUUACCAAAAAAGUCCCCUAAGCACAACUACUUACAUUUCUUUAUAGCCUCUUCUGAUCUCUAAUACAUACAUAUAUAUUUGCACGCAUACAUAUAUGUGUGUGUGCAUAUAUAUGUAUAUAAUAUGCAGUUUUAACUGUUAUUGUCAUAGCAACUGAUCUUUUGUCUUAGGAUUUUUAUCUGAAAGCACAAUGUAUUGAGAGUCUCUUGAAAAUCAUCUUUCAGAUCUUUUUAUAGAAUGAAUUUAUGCACUGCUACUGUAGCAUUCUCAAGGAAUAUACGUAAAAACAAAUGUAUGCCUGAAAUUGGUGUUUGGAGAAAACAGUUCUGCUUCUAAAAGCUUUUAUGUCUAGUCUUUCAUAGAAAAUCAUGUUUAACCAUUUGGGGAGCAUAAAUCAUUCAGUGGAUCAUAUCUGUACAUUGUGUAAUGACUGAAAAGCACAUAAAUAUAAUCUACUUUGAACUUUGUUAAAAAAAUGUUUGGGAGGCUCUCACUCUUGUCUCUCUAUCCAUUUUUCAAGUCUGUGUGUGUGUGUGUGUGUGUGUGUGUGUGUGGUAACAUUGUAAAGAACAGAAAUUACUCUUAAAAAAUAAAAGAAAAUGGAGGCCUGUGUUUCACAUUGAUAAAAAGUUUAUUUGGGUUAACUCAGGAACUCAGAUUUUUAACUCUCCUAUUAAAGUUGUCUCAAAUUUCUAUGAGUUAAAUAGGGAAAAUAAGAACAGUGAAAUAUAUGAGCUAGAAAUGUCCUUAGUUUCUUGUUUUACCAAGGUGGUUAAUUUUUUUUGGGGGGGGGGUACUAGGGAUUGAACCAAGGGGUGCUUUGCCACUAAGCUACAUUCCCAGUCCUUUUUUAAAUUUUAAUUUUGAGACCACUUCUCACUAAGUUGCUUAGAGCCUCAGCCUCCCUAGUAGCUGACAUCACAGAUGUGUGCCAUCACGCCCAGCUGGUUAAUUCAUUUUUUAAAAAAAUAUUCAUUUAUUUUUAGUUUUUAGGUGGACACAAUAUCUUUAUUUUACAUUUAUGUGGUGCUGAGGAUCGAACCCAGUGCCUCAUGCAUGCUAGGCGAGCGCUCUACCACUGAGCCACAACUCCUGCCCCUGGUUAAUUCAUUUUUAAAAAUACUUUUUGUUGUAGAUGGACACAAUACCUCUGUUUUAUUUAUUUAUUUGUUUUUAAAGUAUUUGUCCACAUCCAAUUCCUGGAAUUUGUGAAUAUUACCUUAUGCAGAUUUUUUUUUAAAAGAGAGAGUUUUAUUAUUUAUUUUUUAUCGUUUUUCGUGGACACAACAUCUUUGUUUGUAUGUGGUGCUAAGGAUCGAACCCAGGCUGCACACAUGCCAG